AAGGCUUACAGUGGAUACCUAGGCACCCAGAGACGAGGAAGGGCGUAGUAAGCAACGAAAUGCUUCAGGGAGUUGAAAAUAAGCGUAGAUCCAGAGAUUCUUGAAUAGGUUAACCUUUUGAACUACUGCUGAAUCCAUGGGCAGGCAAGAGACAACCUGGCGAACUGAAACAUCUUAGUAGCCUGAGGAAAAUAAAGCAAAAGUGAUUCCCGUAGUAGCGGCGAGCGAACUGGGAGCAGCCUAAACCGUGAAAACGGGGUCAUGGGAGAGCAAUAAAAGUGUCGUGCUGCUAGGCGAAGCGGUGGAGUGCCGCACCCUAGAUGGCGAGAGUCCAGUAGCCGAAAGCAUCACUAGCUUAUGCUCUGACCCGAGUAGCAUGGGCACGUGGAAUCCCGUGUGAAUCAGCAAGGACCACCUUGUAAGGCUAAAUACUCAUGGGUGAUCGAUAGCGAAGAAGUACCGUGAGGGAAGGGUGAAAAGAACCUCCAUCGGGGAGUGAAAUAGAACAUGGAACCGUAAGCUCCUAAGCAGUGGGAGGAGCCCUGGGCUCUAACCGCGUGCCUGUUGAGGAAUGAGCCGGCGACUCAUAGGCAGUGGCUUGGUUAAGGGAACCCACCGGAGUCGUAGCGAAAGCGAGUCUUCAUAGGGCAAUUGUCACUGCUUAUGGACCCGAACCUAGGUGAUCUAUCUAUGACCAGGAUGAAGCUUGGGUGAAACUAAGUGGAGAUCUGAACCGACUGAUGUUGAAAAAUCAGCGGAUGUGUUGUGGUUAGGGGUGAAAUGCCACUCGAACCCACAGCUAGCUGGUUCUCCCCGAAAUGCGUUGAGGCGCAGCAGUUGACUGGACAUCUAGGAGUAAAGCAUUGUUUUUGUGCGGGACGCGAGAGCGGUACCAAAUCGAGGCAAACUCGGAAUACUAGAUAUGACCUCAAAAUAACAGGGGUCAAGUUCGGCCAGUGAGACGGAGGGGGAUAAGUUUCAUCGUCGAGAGGGAAACAGCCCGGAUCACCAGCUAAGGCUCCUAAAUGACCGCUCAGUGAUAAAGGAGGUAGGAGUGCAGAGACAGCCAGGAGGUUUGCCUAGAAGCAGCCACCCUUGAGAGAGUGCGUAAUAGCUCACUGAUCGAGCGCUCUUGCGCCGAAGAUAAACGGGGCUUAGCGAUCUGCCGAAGCUGUGGGAUGUCAAAAUGCAUCGGUAGGGGAGCGUUCCGCGUUAGGGGGAAGCAACCGCGCGAGCCCCGGUGGAUGAAGCGGAAGCGAGAAUGUCGGCUUGAGUAACACAAAUAUUGGUGAGAAUCCAAUGCCCCGAAAACCGAAGGGUUCCUCCACAAGGUUCAUCCACGGAGGGUGAGUCAGCGUCUAAAAUCAGGCCGAAAGGCGUAGUCGAUGGACAACAGGUGAAUAUUCCUGUACUACCUCUUGUUGGUCCCGAGGGACGGAGGAGGCUAGGUUACCCGAAAGAUGGUUAUCGGUUCAAGGACGCAAGGUGUCCCUGUUUUUUUGAGUAAGAAGGGGUAGAGAAAAUGCCCCGAGCCAAUGUUCGAGUACGAGGCGCUACGGCGCUAAAGUAACCCAUGCUAUACUCCCAGGAAAAGCUCGAACGACCUUCAACAAAAGGGUAUUUGUACCCGAAACCGACACAGGUGGGUAGGUAGAGAAUACCUAGGGGCGCGAAACAACUCUCUCUAAGGAACUCAGCAAAAUAGCCCUGUAACUUCGGGAGAAAGGGUGCCUCCUCACAAAGCGGGUCGCAGUGACCAGGCCCGAGCGACUGUUUACCAAAAACACAGGUCUUCGCAAAGUCGUAAGAUCAUGUAUGGGGGUUGAUGCCUGCCCAGUGCCGGAAGGUCAAGGAAGUUGGUGACCUGAUGACAGAGGAGCCGGCGAUCGAAGGCCAGGUGAAUGGCGGCCGUAACUAUAACGGUCCUAAGGUAGCAAAAUUCCUUGUCAGGUAAGUUCCGACCCGCAUGAAAGGCGUAACGAUCUGGGCACUAUCUCGGAGAGAGGCUCGAUGAAAUAGACAUGUCUGUGAAGAUGCGGACUACCUGCACCUAGAUAGAAAGACCCUAUGAAGCUUCACUGUUCCCUGGGAUUGGCUUUGGGCUUUUCCUGCGCAGCUUAGGUGGAAGGCAAAGUAGGCCCCCUUCCGGGGGGCCCGAGCCAUCAGUGAGAUAGCACUCUGGAAGAGCUAGAAUUCUAACCUUGUGUCAGGACCUACGAGCCAAGGGACAGUCUCAGGUAGACAGUUUCUAUGGGGCAUCCUCUUAUCUUGUUUGUAUUCUAGUUAAAACCUCUUCUGAUAUGUAGGUUCCUAUCCUUUAUCUAUCAGUAAAUGGAUGAAAUUCACUCGUCAUAAUCAAUAUACGACGUAAAAUAAGGCCAUGAUCGCUGCAUCUUAAAUCGUUCGUUCACCCGAAAGUCUUCUCUCUAUGCUAAAACGCUAAUAAGAAGGCUAAGCUUCAUAGUUCCAACCUAUACAAGACAAGGGGCGCUUACUAAGCGCAGCUUCUAUCCCAGCCAAGCUAACAAAGCGGGGGACUUAGGUGGGAAUUGUGAAAGAAAGAGAAGGGGAAGACGCUGGGUAGAGGAAGAAAACUCAUCAGGCUCAUGACCUGAAUACUGCAGGUUCGAAUCCUGUCCCCGCCUAAGAAAGAGUGAUUGAAGAGUUAGGUAACAGAAAAAAGAUCGAAAAGUCUCGGAUCAUCGUCUACACUUUUUCGUAUGGAAGUGGUGGUCUUCUUUUAGACUCCCCCGAGAAGAUGGAUCCUCUCUUAUCCGAUUCGUAUUGCUCCUUAGCAGAGAUCGGGUUAUUGGUCUUGUUUUGCACAACCUCUCCUGGUGACCUGGCAAGGUAAGCAAGUGAACCUCUCUCUAGUGGUGGCAUCUAAGCUAUCAAAUGACUCUAUUCUA
rnacentral:rRNA from 1 species